rnacentral:rRNA from 1 species
UACGUAGGUGGCAAGCGUUGUCCGGAUUUACUGGGCGUAAAGAGCGCGCAGGCGGUCGUUCAAGUCGCGUGUGAAAGCCCCCGGCUCAACUGGGGAGGGUCACGCGAUACUGAUCGACUCGAAGGCAGGAGAGGGUAGUGGAAUUCCCGGUGUAGUGGUGAAAUGCGUAGAUAUCGGGAGGAACACCAAUGGCGAAGGCAGCUUGCUGGGACGGUACUGACGCUGAGACGCGAAAGCGUGGGGAGCAAACAGGG